GUAACAAUAAUAAUAAGGUUAAACAAUAAAAAUGCUAAAAAACACUGACUAAAUUGAAAUAAAAUGAAAAUACAGGGCUGAUUUGAAAGUAAGAAGACGAAAAGGAUCAAAUUGCAACACGCGCAAAAAAAGAGGGACUAAAAAGGGAAAUAUUCCCUCGCUGACCAAACGACGCCGUUCCAGUGAAAAGCACGCACAUGGUCGAGGGAUCAAAUCGAAACAGACGCGAAAAUUCAUGGCCAAAAUCGUAAAAUAUGCGAAAAACUUCCUUGAAAGCGCCACAAAAUCAGAAGGACCAAUUGCGAAAAUAAUCCAAGAGCCAAAAACACGCGGAUCCUCCCACAGGGUCGGGUCAUCGCGCGGGUCAGAGACCAAAACGAUGCCGUUUUAGCCUCUGAACCCUAAAAUCAAAACAACGCCGUUUUAUGGGGGCUAUUUAAACUCAAAUUUUUUUUUAAAAAAUCUUCAUUCUUUCUUUUCCUUGAAAAAAAAAUUGAGAAAGUUCUCUCCCCCCUUUCUCAAAUCCGGCCAUGGUCCGGUCUUCGGCUGCCGUCCGUCGGCCACCGCACACGGUGGUCGGAGGCCCAAAAUCGGACCUUUUUGGUCCCUUUUGAAGCCGAUCGCCUCUAAGAUACGGAUCCAGGGCCGAAUCCCGCGAAAGGCAAAGCCAAAGGCCCGAAAACAAGGCGAAACCUCUCGCCUCCUCCUCCUCCAGCGCGGCGCAGGUAUGGUUUAGGGUUUCUUUCUCUCUCUCUUUUUUUGUUUUCCUUUUAUUCGUUUUGCAUAUGAAAGAAAAUAAAAAGAUCAAAAAGAAAGCAAAAAAAAUAAAAUCGAAAAGAAUGUAAAAAAGAGUCACAUUUUUAAACUAUUUUUUUAUUUUCUUCAAUGGUUGUGAUAAAAAUGGGGGGAACCCCUUACAAGGCUUCCAUUCUCUAUUUUAUAGCCGAUUUACAUGAGUUUUUUCUUUUAAUCUAUUUCCUAUGUUUGUCCUUUCUGCCUUGAUUUGUUUGCAGGUCAUCGGCGCAAGUGGAUGGAGGUGACAGUGGCAGUUGGCGGUGGUUGGGAUUAGGUACGGCGACAGGCGGAUGGUCAAGGGUCAAAAGACCCUAGGUGCGGCGCACCUAGGGUUAGAGUUUCUUGCUUUUGCUGGAAAUGUUUUGGGUUUUGGGCUGAGGUAUUGGGUUGUAGUGUUUGGGCUUGUAAUUGGGUUAAAAUGGAAUUUGGGCCUGUUGUUGAAUGUAAUUGGAUUGUUAAUUAAUUUUGGUUUGGUUGUAUUUGGGCUUGUUGGGCCCCGGGUCAAAAAUUGGGCCCUAUAUAUUAAUUUCUCAUAAAAUAAUUCGGGAGGGGUCAUGGAAUUGUUUGUUAAAGUCAUCGUACCAAAAAGUGUGGAAUUUUUGGUAAAAUGAUUUUCUGUUAUUGUUUGAAUCAUUUACAAUAGCUUAUAUACAAGUAUUUGACCAAUGUAAGAUCCGAAUAAAAAGUAUCUAGAAGCUAGCUAUAUACA
rnacentral:lncRNA from 1 species